rnacentral:rRNA from 1 species
AACGAACGCUGGCGGCAUGCCUAACACAUGCAAGUCGAACGACACCCUCGGGCUUGGUGGCGCACGGGGCCGUAACGCGUGGGAAACUGCCCUUAGGAUCGGAACAACUCCCCGGAACAGGCGCUAAUAACGGAUAAUGUUUUCGGACCAACGGACUGUCGUCUUUGGAUGUGCCCGCGUUGGAUUAGCUCGUUGGUAUGGUAAAAGCCUACCAAGGCGUGGAUCUAUAGCUGGGCUGAGAGGAUGGGCAGCCACACUGGGACAGAGACGCAGCCCAGACUCCUACGGGAGGCAGCAGUGGGGGAUAUUGCACAACGGGGGGAAGCCUGAUCCAGCAAUGCCGCGUGAGUGAUGAAGGCCUGAGGGUAGUAAAGCUCUUUUACCCGGGAUGAUAAUGACAGUACCGGGAGAAGAAGCUCCGGCUAACUCCGUG